UACGUAGGGUGCAAGCGUUAAUCGGGAUUACUGGGCGUAAAGCGUGCGCAGGCGGUUUUGUAAGUCUGGCGUGAAAUCCCCGGGCUUAACCUGGGAAUUGCGAUGGUGACUGCAAGGCUAGAGUUUGGCAGAGGGGGGUAGAAUUCCACGUGUAGCAGUGAAAUGCGUAGAGAUGUGGAGGAACACCGAUGGCGAAGGCAGCCCCCUGGGUCAAAACUGACGCUCAUGCACGAAAGCGUGGGGAGCAAACAGG
rnacentral:rRNA from 1 species